rnacentral:rRNA from 1 species
GAGUUUGAUCCUGGCUCAGGAUGAACGCUGGCGGCGUGCUUAACACAUGCAAGUCGAGCGGAGGUUUAAAGCGGAAGUUUUCGGAUGAAAGCAGUAAACCUUAGCGGCGGACGGGUGAGUAACGCGUGGGUAACCUGCCUCAUACAGGGGGAUAACAGUUAGAAAUGACUGCUAAAACCGCAUAAGCGCACAUUGUCGAGUGACAGAGUGUGAAAAACUCCGGUGGUAUGUGAUGGACCCGCGUCUGAUUAGCUAGUUGGUGAGGUAACGGCCCACCAAGGCGACGAUCAGUAGCCGGCCUGAGAGGGCGACCGGCCACAUUGGGACUGAGACACGGCCCAAACUCCUACGGGAGGCAGCAGUGGGGAAUAUUGCACAAUGGGGGAAACCCUGAUGCAGCGACGCCGCGUGAGUGAAGAAGUAUUUCGGUAUGUAAAGCUCUAUCAGCAGGGAAGAAGAAAGACGGUACCUGACUAAGAAGCCCCGGCUAACUACGUGCCAGCAGCCGC